rnacentral:rRNA from 1 species
UACGGAGGGGGCUAGCGUUGUUCGGAAUUACUGGGCGUAAAGCGUACGUAGGCGGCUUUGUAAGUUAGAGGUGAAAGCCCGGGGCUCAACUCCGGAAUUGCCUUUAAGACUGCAUCGCUUGAAUCAUGGAGAGGUGAGUGGAAUUCCGAGUGUAGAGGUGAAAUUCGUAGAUAUUCGGAAGAACACCAGUGGCGAAGGCGACUCACUGGACAUGUAUUGACGCUGAGGUACGAAAGCGUGGGGAGCAAGCAGG